AAGUGGACCACAUGGAAGGAUUUUAGGAUGUCACGUGGAGAAUUAUGGGGCUGGUUAUGUGGUGAUUUUAAAGAGUGAAUCAGCAAAUCUAUUAAAUGGUCUUAUCAUUUUUUUUAUGGGGAAAAGAUAAAGUAUGGAAAAUAUUCCACUUCAUCCGUUGGCAGCAAUCAUUCCCACAGGGAUAAUUCAAAUUUGAAGAUCAAAUAUGUUCAGCUACAUGUUACUUUAGAUGAUUCUUUUGUGAAAGCUCUCGGCAGCAAAAAUGUAAGAAAUCAAGAGUAGAAAUUUAUGUCUUCUUCCAUUUAUUGAGGAUUGGAGUACUAGUCAAGACGAGUGCAUUGUUGGUUUGAAUUGACGACACGAGGUUAAAGGGGCGACGAAGCAAGCUUGGUUACGGUUGAUCUAUAACAGUUGUUUUGGAAGAAGGAGCACUUAUUUCUUCAAGUUGACAACUUGUUCAAGUGAAGAAGUUUGUAGAAAAAGAUUUUGGGCGAAACGGGAAUUGAAUUUGGAAAGGCGUAAAGAGCAUACAAGGUAUGUAAAGCUAUCCCGAUUCUUCUUUUGGCAUUCCCUAGGUGUACUAGGAUCGGAUUUGAGCCUCGAAAAGCGUUCUGCUCAUCGGAAUCCGCAUUUGAAAAUACCCCCUUUUUCAUUUAAUGGAAUUGAACCCUAUAAGUAUGCUUUAUUGAAAGAAUUGUGCAAACUUCCGCAAAUUGUUUAGAAAAUUAUGGAAUGCCCCUAGAACCUCCGUAGGUGACUUUAUAAGCUUUAAAUACGUAAUUUGAGCCCAUCGCUUCGUUUGUCCCGAGGUGGGUCCACUAUUUCCGAUUUUACCCUUUUAGUGGUUAUGACUUGUCUUCGAGCGUUUUUUUUAAGAAAUGUUUUAACUACUCUUGUAACUACUAAAUAAAACUUGUUUUAAAUAUUCUAUUAAGUCUUGUAAACUGUUUUGGAACUUGGAAACGAACUUAGAAAGAUUAUGCUUCCGUAAUCCAUUAUGACAUUCGAAAUUCCCUUAUUAUGAUUCCGUCCGAUUUUAUUGAUUUGAUUCGUCAUUUGAUAUGCCUCAUUGAGUCUCUGGAAAUAUAUAAGGUAUUUUAUUGCAUUUAGUUUCUCACUACUCCAUUCGUGGAUGCCUCAACGUUUCCCACACUGAGCCCGGGCCAGGAUAUGUUCUCAAGCGUCUUCCACUGCAUUGUUCGCCGUGCCUCGAUGUGAGGGGGCAGGUAUACAUGUACAUGGGUUGUGGAGUAUGCUGUGCCAUGUACACUAUUCUGAUAUGAUAUGAUAUGAUCUGAUAUGGCCAUCUGAUAUGAUAUGCUAUGUUACGGGGUUAUUCCCCUUUUAUGAUCCUUAUGUGUUGUGGCACCAGUGUCGGGGGGUGACCACGUUCUGUCUACCGAGUCCCCUGGAAGGGGCCGGAUAUGAUAUGGCAUAUGUUUCUGUACACACUCUUCAUGUUUUGAAAAUAUGCAUUUGAUACUCUGGACAUCUCACUCACAUUUCUGUACGUUCUGUUCUGGUUAUGAUUUUGUUCCGUAAUGGGACCAGGUAUGACAUACGUUUCCUGUAAGUACUAUUUAUGCUUUAUGAUCAGCAUUUUGCUAAUCUGGAUAUUCCGUUCAUUUUCUGUAUCUCCUGUUCCGAUUAUGACUUUGUUUACUACGUUCCAUGCUUUACAUACUCAGUACAUAUUUCGUAAUGACCCCCUUUCUUCGAGGGCUGUGUUUUCAUGCCGCGCAGGUACAGACUACAGAUUUGCUGACCCACCUGCCUAGGACACCUAUUCUGCUAUUCUGGAGCGCUCUUUUGUCCAGAGCCUAUACUCUGGUACAGUCUGCUACUGUUGUAUAUAUGUACGCUAUUCAGGGGUACGACGGGGCCCUGUCCCGUCUUAUGAUUCUGUUAUGUUCUGUAGAUGUCUGUAGACAUACAUGUGGGUUCUGUAUAUGUUUUGGGUUGCUAUCAUUUGUGAUAGCCUUAUCGGCUUCCAUGUGCUAUGUAUGUUCCUCUGUGACACUAGUAACGUCGACUGACUUUUAUAUUUAUAUAAUCUGCUAGUCUGCUGGUUUAGGUUAUUGGGUACGUUUGGGUGUCCAGCACGGACACUAGUCACGGCCUACGGGGUUGGGUCGUGACACUUUAUAUACUCAGUACAUAUCUCGUACUGACCCCCUUUCUUCGGGGAGCUGCGUUUCAUGCCCGCAGGUGCAAAUACUCGCUUUGGUGAUCCUCCAGCUUAGGACUUCUACUUAGCUUUCUUGGAGUGAUCCAUUGUUCCGGAGCCUAGACUUUUGGUAUAGAUCCUUUUGACGUAUAUAUAUGGUUAUCCAGGGGUACGGCGGGGCCCUGUCCCGUCAUAUUUCACUAUCGAUACUCGUAGAGGUCUGUAGACAUAUGUGUGGGUUGUGCAUAAGUUUUGUUCAGCUGUGUCUAUAUGGCUUACGUAUGGUAUUGACAUGUUGUGACAGCUUUGUCGGCUUACGUAUGGUAUUGAUAUGUUGUGGCGGCCUUGUCGGCUUGCGUAUCAUAUUGACAUGUUGUGACAGCCUUGUCGGCGUACGUAUGGUAUUGAUAUGUUGUGGCGGCCUUGUCAGCUUGCGUAUCAUAUUGACAUGUAGUGGCAGCCUUGUCGGCUUGCGUAUCAUAUUAUUUAUUGGUUACCUGUGACUCCUCAGGAGACAGGUUUAUGAUAUGCGGCGUUAUGAAUCUUUAGUUGCUUUCAUAAGUUCCAUACAGUUCUUAAUUUCAGUCUGACUAGAUCUAACAGGUACGUAUACGGGUGUCCAGCUCGGGCACUAGUCAUGGCCCACGGGGUUGGGUCGUGACAGUACCAUUCUCGCUUCAUCAAUAUGUAAAAUUUUUCUGGGAAGGAGAUGAAGUGGUGAUCCACGGAGAAGCUAUCAUGCACAAUUACCCAGACAAUUCUGUACUUGUCAUUGAAGCCGCACCCAAUGGAACGAAUUUCCAUGUCAUGGAGUUAGUGGGAUCGGCCUACGGGAUGGAGUCCUCUAAAAUUCUUAUGCCAGCGGUUUACAAAAUGAUUGCUUCCACUAUGAUCUUGAAGGGGUUUGAACCCAGGAAGGGUCUGGGAAAGAAUCUACAGGGCAUCACCGAACCCAUUCCCAUUCUGCAAGAUAAUUUUCUCUUUGGACUUUGUUACAUCCCAACAAAAGAAUAGAUGCCCACCAAGAAGAAACAAUAGGUUGCGGAUCUUUGCAAGCCCAUUCCAAACCUGUACCAAUCAUUUCCCCAUAUAAUGCCUAUUCCUGGAGAUGCUGACAUUGAAGAAGGGAUAAGGACGCUAUUCCAGGAAGAAGAUUACUUCGUGAUUCUGGAAGAAUGUGCUGAAGCACCCACCAUCAGAGAGGCAGAACCACGCGAGCAGCUGUCCAACUGGAUCACUACCCCGCUACUGGCUCUUCAGUAGAGAAAGAUGAAUUUAUUUUUGAA